GUUGGAUAAAUCAGGAUGGUUGGUCUUUUUGAUUGCGGAACGGUUGGUACGGUUGGUCGACCUGCCCUAACCUCCACAGACAUUUGCCCAAUUUUUUGUACCACUUACAGCUAUGUAUAUUCGCAUCUUAUCUACUUCCUUCUGGCACAACUCCUGCGUACUGUGUACAAAGCGCUAAUUCCAGCAUCUGUCUGAAAUCUGUAUUAUUUCUCACAACAACCCCAGCCCGUGCCUUCCUCUUCGGCUUCCUGAGAAUGGCGUGCCGAUAAUUCCAUCAAGUCCCUCAGGAUUGGAAAGAAGCUAGCAGAUAUAGUUAAACCGGCUAAAACGGCUAACACAGUGGCUCCUCCAUUGGCUUAGGGAGUAGAUAUUGCCAUAGUAAAUCAACGUGGCAGAAACGACAUGCUAUUCCAAUAUUAGAUCUUGACGUACGGGAGAUUCGACCUUAACGGCUAAUGGUCAGGAGCGAAGUGAAGAGGAAGAGGAAGUGAGUGAUUGGAAAAAAAAACAAGUAUAAGAAAAAGCAUAUAGCAGAUGGAGGACGUGUGACGAUAAAGAGGAUUUUAUGAAAUUUCUAAUUUUUUUUUUUAUCAAUCGACCUACCGACUGAUCACGAAUUUCAAGAUUGAUUGGCAAUCGAUCUAUUAGGAUGUUAUUGCACGUUGGACCUUCGGAUUCUGGUUUUACGCUCUGUGACGUCACCGGAAUUCUCAUUGGUAUUCAGACCGAAGGCAGAUUCGUCUGUUCGUCUUCCUAUAAGAUUCUCCUGCGGAAGAUCAAAUUUCAUAUCGAAGAAUUCCAAAUUUUCUGCAACGCCUUGAGGUUCGAUCGGAAUAUGCAAGGUCUAUUACGAACUGCCAAGAGGUGAUCGUCCUGCGCAUGCGCGCCGCUCUAUGCCGAGAAACUAUGUGGCCGUUAACGGCUUCGGACAAAUCGAGUUCGCGUUGUGCACGAGUGAACUGGGGAGUGCGCCGAGCAGUUAACACGCGGUAAACUCUUACGGACGAAAAGGACAAAAUCUCUUUGUCAUAUCUGUAAGGCCGGUCAGUUGCCAAUUUGAAAUUCAUGAGAGAACAAAUUUGAUCGUUAAUUCAUAUUUGAAUUACCCCCGUAAUUCUACUAAAACUUCGAGAGCAAAGCCCCGCAAAAGUGCAUAAAUUUUUCUCUGGCUUUUACACCGGGAACAGAGGAAUGUUACGCAAGCUCCUGGUUAAGUAUGAAAAAUGUAGACAUUCGUCUUCCAAUACGAACGUGGAACUUGGCUCCGUGUGACAUCCCUGGCCCUUUGUGGUUAUACAGAAAAUGUGCUACGUUAAGAUAGUCGCACAAUUCGUCAUUUAGAGGGUAACUCAACGAUUCCUGAAAAAUCUUCCAUGGCUCCAUUCAUUUCGCCAGACUCAGAAAAGUAUUCAAAACCCGUCUGUAUCGCAAAACUAAAGAAAGAAAAUCCACUCUGCUCGGACUUCUACGUUAAAUUAUUCAUACCGAAGUGAACUUACGUAACAGACAUAUAUAUUUUUAUCUUAUCCUCCUGGUCGUCUUCUCCACCGAGUGGAUUCGUUAUAUAUACACUUUGACAUAUCAAAACUAUUUUGACCAUAGACCGCGAAGCAAGCCGGAGUACCACAGCCUCAUUCGUCCCAGAUUUCAAACAUGGCGGCAAUUAAGAGAAUAAAACCUGGCCAGAAUACGUAGCGCGAUAGUGGCGCCUCGUUAUUUUUCAUACACAAGAAUUCUCGUCUCUACGUGUUAACGAGGGUAAUCAAAAUCAGCCGGAUGCCAUACACACGAUGUAUAAUACAAACGAAGAAUUAACAUUGGAUCAAGAGCGUCCGGCAUUAAAGGAUCGUUUGGAUUUGAACCAUAUUCUUCAAUUUCCAUCUCCCCUUCAAAAUCUCCUUUCUUCUGCAUCAACUUCCAUUUUUCCACUGUGUUGGAAAAAGCUCUCGGCUUCCACCAGGCUACACCCUGACCACGUACAAAGGAAGUGUGCAUUGUUUGAUAUGGAAGACAAUCGUUACCGGCUUCAUGGGAUGAGAUGAGGACAAAACAGAAGAUUGAUUAUUCCGGAUGAAAACUGCAAAGAAAAAACUAAGAUCCUGGUACCCUGUGUGUAUCCGACAGUGAAGAGCCUUGCCGUAAUACCCAGUGUCGGCGGCACUGCGGAACUCUCGGCUCGACGAGAACGAUGGGUCGAAAUUAAAAGUUUCAACGGAUCAGCGCCACGCGGGUUGUUACCAGGCUCUGGGGAUGAAAAGGACAUAAGAGUGAAGUGGAGAUUCAGGGAGUGCCGGGGCUGACGUUGCUGACGUUGACGAAUAACGGAGUCAGCGUUUUGACAAAUUUACAUUUGCCAGAAACGUUUAAUUCGUGGAGUCUCGUGUCGACCUUUGACCCGAACUAAAUUCAUUUCAUUUGUCAGGGGUCUCGGGGAGGUCAUUGAUCCCUCUCCCAUUUAAAUCUAGAAAAUAAUUUUCGAAAUACCCUGUGUAGUACCCUCUUGUUAGACAGUCUCGGUGAAUUUGAAAAAAAAAAAAAAAAAAUUUCAUCCGCCCGAGGCGGUUCUCACCGACUUCCGGGAAACUCGAACAAUAAGGGAAGAAUUAUAUCAAGAGUCCAACCACCCUUAUAGGGUUUUUGAAUACGGUAGAAUUUUAUUAGAGGGUUGAAUACGUCGUGAAGAUGCCUAUGGGGCGAAGGACGAAUGGAAAACUCCGGGGUAAAUAAAAACUACCCUCCAAGAGAAUAAAAAGGUAGACCAGCGCCAGGAGUGUAUCGGCGAAUACCGGGUGACAAAAAAUAAUUCAGUAGGCACAUUAAGUAACGCUUAAUUACGGACUCGGAGAAUGAACGAAAAAACACGAAAUUUCAUUAUCGAAUUAAUCGUCUCCCAAGUUUGGGGGGUGCGAAUGAUGAACUGAAAAAAUUUUUUUUUUUUUUUUUUUUUUUUUUCAAAAUUCGUACAGCAUCGCAGCUCCCGUUAAAAGUUUCGACCCUGGUCGAAGAACAAAGCUUUACCGAUCUCGAAUGGUUCGCCCUGCCGUUCAUACACAAUUCCAUUAACUAAGUCCGUGGGAUCAUCAAUCCUUUUCCAAGGCACUCAAGAUCUGCCGACCCGAUCCCUCAUAGUUCUCUCGCUGAUGAAAGAUGCGAAGCCGUGAUUUCUUUCUACAGUUGUUUAUCACGCAAUUUCUCAUUCUGACCCCCCGGGGGCGAUGGACAACUGCGCUCCGUUUACUUGGACUAGGUAGACACCCCCUGGGUCCAAUGGCUUCCAAUCAGGACUGAUCAAUCAAUUAGUUACUCAGGGGCGUAACGGUUCGAUUAUUCUGUUGAUAAGUCAUGGAUGUUAAUUAGGCUGAAUUAUUGAUAAUGAAGUCUCGAUAACAGACUGUGUUAAGUACUUCGUCAUUGAUCUCCAUGAAAACGCAUUGUGUUGCCUUAAUUGUUUAUCGAACACCCUGAAAGAGGGGAAGCCGAUUUUUUGGAUCUACACAGUUUUCCAUUUCAUGCUUUUCAUACGGAAUUAAUUUACCACGUGUAUUGAAGUAUCGAGAAAAAAAUUGCGAAUUAAAAAAAAUCCAUCCGUUCUCCAAGGGCUGAAAUCGACUCCGUCUAUACUGUCAAUUAAUUCUAUGGACUUGUGGCAUGCAACGAAAAUUGCAUAGAAUAUAUAUAUAUAUAUAUAUAUAUAUUUAAUUAUCUCAAGAUCGUAUAGCUAAAUGCUCACUAUCGAGAAUUAAGGGCGGAUAAUUACCCAGACAAUUUCCCUGCUCUAGUUUCAUUAUUCUGUUACGCGGAAGAGUUGCGGGUCGGUGGGUUCGUAAUUAAGGGUAGUUCGUACAGGGGUGUGAAAAAAAAAGUGUAUCGUUGGAGGAAGAUGGAGGGGAAAAAAUUUGUCACUCAUCUAGCAAAGUGUUUUGCUUUUCUUUUUUAUUGCCGGAUAAGGGUGGAGUUUUGUGUAUACGUAAUCUCAACCGUGUCUACGAAACAAGAUUUUAUACAGUUUAUUUUAUUUUUUUCGCACCCUGGCGAAAUGUCCAAUUAGCUGAACGCUGUAAUCACACCUGAGGGUGUGACCAAUUUUUUCGAGGGGUCAUAGAAAGUAAGUAGUGGAGGGACUAUGGCGGUGGAAGUCGGGAUUUAAGGUCAGGGUGCAAAACGUAGAUCAUUUCAAGGAAGACGAUGGCUUACUUAAGCACGAAGGGUUGUUAUUCCCUAGAAAUGAAUAUUUCUCAUGUAUAUUUAUAAAUUAAUUCCUUUAUUUUGUUAAAAGCUAUAUAUAUAUAUAUAUA